CCACAUUGCUUGUGAAAGCAUCUUUAUUCUUGAUCUGCAGGAAAGAUUUCCUCGUGCUGUUUUCUGUGCAGAACUGACGGGAUCGGGAUUGCUGUCUGUCAGGCGACAAGGGAACCCGCCAGCUCACGGAAGAGAUAACUGACUUCAGCAUGGACCAGCUUCACCUAGAUCUGUGAAAAAAAGCCAAGCAUCAUUGAAGGCAACAGCAUAAUGAAGCUCAAACAACAACAAAUGGGCUAAGACUCUGAACAACCACAAACAUGGAAAGACAGACAUCACUUACUACCUAGAAGUACCACCUGGAAACUGCCUGCUGUUGUGGAGCUACAAUUGUUACUAAUUGCAAUGGAAGCUUUGGAAGACUAUCUGCCCCCAAGCACCAGUGACGGGAUAUGAAGACAGGAAGAGAGGAUUAUGCUUUUGGCUUGCAUAUUACAGUGCCCAGCACAGCAGAUGUCUUCAGCUCACCAAAGAUUGCAGAAGUUCAGUUUGUUCCCAUAGAGUCAUCUUUGCCAACAUGGUACUCCAGGUAGAUGAAGAAUAGUAUUUAAGGAGCUUGAGAGCCAUUACUGAUCUUACAAUACAUGGACAAACCCAAAUCUACCCGUGCUGGAGCCCAGGCAUAUCUUAUGCAAAUACCUGCAGAUGAGGUUCAACCUGUGACUCCAAGGGAGAAAUCUGUGUGACUGGUCUCUUCAGUAGUUCAAGGUGCACCAGCUUUUCUGUCUUACACUCUUAGCUCUGCUUUGGUUGUUACAUCUGGGACCUUUUAAAAAGUCAUGUGACACAGUCCAGUAGUAAUUACUUUUCUUCAAAAAUCUCUUUUUUUUUCUUUUCUUCCAAAUUUACUAUUACCCCUUUCACCACUGCUUCUGUGUCUCUAUAUGACUUAUGCAACUGGGGUUUCAAGCAACAAUGACCUCUUAAAAAUAUUACGAUCUCAGUAACUGACAAUGAAAAGCACAAAUAUAUAUCUUAGAAAAGAAUGAAAAAGACACAGAGCCUGACUUUAACCAUUGCUAGGAAGCCUCAGAGUGCUAUGUGCAGAUGGGCGCUCUUGACUGGGUAUUCUGCCCAUGGAGGGCUUAAAAUUUUUGACACUAGGGAUUCUCCACAUAGAUCUACUUUGAAUGUGGAACUCAGAUGAAUUAUCUGAUGUUUUUUACUUCCUUACUUGGGAAGAGACUGAGGAAGGUCUGGGAAAGGCUCUUCUGCCUAAGACAGGCUAAUGGUAAGAACUUGUCAUCUUCUACUGAUGUCACAUUUAAAUAAUGAUCACUGGGGCAAAAAGAUGGAUCUGGCCUAGAGCAAACCCAUUUUUUCUAUCUAGUCCAGAAGGGGAGAAAAAUAACAGCGAUAUGUCUGAUGAAGAUGAUCAGAAGGUCACACAAUUAAAGGAUAUACAGGAUAUAGAAGAAAGGGUUUCUCAGGAGAUGAUGUGGAAACACAGGUGAAAGACUGACCAAACACAUGCCAUCUGCCCACAAGCAAAGAAAGUCUAAAAGAUGUCAUGAGCAGGAGCAGAGAGAAAGACCAAAAGGAUCUGUCUUGUAGCCCAACAGAAAAAGAAAAUCACUUCAAACCAAUGGACAAGUUGAGAAGAAAAGAAACCAGAAGAGGAGAGAGAGAGAGAUCACAAGGAUUUGUUUUCUUUAGAUAGGUACAUUUCUGUGUCACUAAAGACACGAUAGUGUGAUUCUAAAACUCCUGACUAGUUUCAUCUUAGGUGGCUAUCUAAGUGGCACGAAUUCCUUUCCAGAGGUGUUUGCUUCUCACAGUGGACUGUAUGUGGAUUCUAGGUAUACUUAGACAAUUAAAGCUUGACAGAAGGAACAUCUUCAAUACUCUUAAUUUUUCCUUCUGACUAACAAGCCCGUGGCUUUCCUGACUGGAAGUCUGAAUCUUGUCAGCAGUGUGUUUCUUAAUUACACCAGAGCUGUUAAGUUGUAGAGAUGCUUCUUGAAGAAUGGUCUGAAAACAAAAUGAAGAAUAAACUCAGAUACCUUGCUGAAGAGCCUACUUUUUAAUGGAAAAAUCCUAAAUGCCUUUAUGUGAGCUUCUAGCUGGUUAUGAAACGUGUGAUGAGGAUGAAAAACAAAUAGUAUGGAUUUAUAGGGUAAGAAGUUAAAUUGUCAUUGGCACUAGCAAUCAUUGGAUCCCAUGUGGCUUGAAGAUGUUCUGACGCAGUGCACUGAUGUCCACUUCAUUCAAAUAGGCAUCAGAAGAGCUGUUACAUCUUGUUUCCAGGAGCUGCGAUGCACCCCAAAGGGAGAACUCAGCUUAAGCCUGGGGUCAAUUCCGCAACCACUGGUAAUGCUAAGGAGAGGCUGGCAGGAGAUUAGACAGAAAUGUACAUUCAAUAAAAUCAAAAGGAUUUUGUCUCCCUAAAGCUUUGGAAGAAAUGAGUUUAUAGAUAACUAUUUGCCCUAUGGACAUCAUUCUUUAACUUUCACUGAGGCAGCACAUGCCAUUAUCCUAUAGAUGCCCAGUGAAGCAAACGAUAAGAAAUAGAUGAUUUUCCUGGCCAGAUCUGUAGCACAUUUAAUAUUUUUUUUUUUUUUUUAGGAUAGAAAUUCCAUGAAAACUGUAUCAACUUCAAGGUUAUUUUUAAUGGUGGCUUUAUGGUUUGCCAUCAACUAAUGCCAUUUCUUUGGGAGCCUCCAAAACCAUCGCAAACCACCACUUUCAGACAUUCAUUUAAUUGUCUGUCUAAGAGACUGUAACUUUGAAGACAAACUCCUACAGCUUCAAAUUUUCUUGAUCCUUCUUCGACUUAGCUUGACAUUUGGAUUUUUCUGCCUCACCCUUAUGCAACUGAAUUACAAGCAUUUUCUUUUAAAAUCAAUAUCUUUGAUAAUUUUCUACAUGGCUUAAAACUCAGAAAUAAAUUGAUUGUAUAGUCUUUUUAAAGCCAAGUUAAAGUUAAAGAUUAAAAGUUAGAGAAAGAUUCUGAGCAAGCAAUAGAGUAAUUCCUAAAACAUUUUUCAUUGCCUUGCCUUCUUCCCGUGCCUCUCCCUUUCCUAGAUGAGGUGUACUGAACCAGUUUCCCUAACAGAAAGAUACUACAAUAGUGACUAGAUAUUUUCAAUUAAUUUUUUUCUCACAGAUUUUUUUGGACUUCUAUUUGAAAGUUAUCUGCAAAAUUUUGGGUUAGAAAUGCUGAACAGACUUUCUGAAAAUCUCCCUUUAUCAUUACUAAGACAUUAUUAGUUAACCACCUUUUGAAAAGACAUUUCUUGCCCCAAAACUCUGAAACUUGGCAUUAGUUUCAGGAAUAGAUUUCAUGUUCCCUUGACUGUCUGAGUAUCAUCCUUUGAAGGAAGGACAGAAUAAAAG